AGAGUUUGAUCCUGGCUCAGAAUGAACGCUGGCGGCGUGCCUAACACAUGCAAGUCGGAUGUGCCGCAAGGUGCAUGGCAGACGGGUGAGUAACGCGUAGGGAAUCUACCUCUUUGUGGGGAAUAACGCUCCGAAAGGAGUGGUAAUACCGCAUGAGACCGAGUGCUGGGAUGCAUUCGGUGAAACCUGGGGACCGCAAAGCCUGGGGCAAGGAGAGGAUCCUGCGUCUGAUUAGCUAGUUGGCGGGGUAAUGGCCCACCAAGGCGACGAUCAGUAGCCGGCCUGAGAGGGUGAUCGGCCACACUGGAACUGAGACACGGUCCAGACUCCUACGGGAGGCAGCAGUGGGGAAUUUUGCGCAAUGGACGAAAGUCUGACGCAGCAACGCCGCGUGGGUGAUGAAGGUCUUCGGACUGUAAAACCCUGUCGUCAGGGACGAAGGUG
rnacentral:rRNA from 1 species